UGCCCAAGGAAAUAUGUAUCACACAUAAUUAAUUGGGCAGACUCCCCACUAGAUCUGCAUUCCCAUUCAAUUACCAACGUGUGUAAUGAAUAUUUUUGAAUUUCAGAUGCUGGGCCGAGCAUCAACUGGAUUCUGCCAAAAAUUCUGGAGAUAAUCAAUUUAUUAUUUUAAAAGGAGACAGCAUUAGGAAAAAAGAUUUAAAAGGAAAUCUUCUGAAGAAAGCAAACGGCCAUAUGUGUUUUUUAUGCUGCCACACUUCGGUUAGCUAUGUUAAAAGCAGCAGCAUUAUCACACAAGAUUUGACAAGUGGACAAUUGGCCUCUGGAGCUAGAAAGAUAAUCAAUUUAUUAUUUUAAAAGGAGACAGCAUUAGGAAAAAAGAUUUAAAAGGAAAUCUUAUGAAGAACAGAAACGGCCAUAUGUGUUUUUUAUGUUGCCACACUUCGGUUAGCUAUGUUAAAAGCAGCAGCAUUAUCACACAAGAUUUAAAAGGAAAUCUUAUGAAGAACAGAAACGGCCAUAUGUGUUUUUUAUGUUGCCACACUUCGGUUAGCUAUGUUAAAAGCAGCAGCAUUAUCACACAAGAUUUAAAAGGAAAUCUUAUGAAGAACAGAAACGGAACAGAACAGAAAUAUGUGUUUUUUAUGCUGCCACACUUCGGUUAGCUAUGUUAAAAGCAGCAGCAUUAUCACACAAGAUUUAAAAGGAAAUCUUAUGAAGAACAGAAACGGCCAUAUGUGUUUUUUAUGUUGCCACACUUCGGUUAGCUAUGUUAAAAGCAGCAGCAUUAUCACACAAGGUAU